CUUGCUCUGUCACAUUUGCAGCUGGAGAGUGAUCGCUGGGUACGGCAGACCAGGGAGGGGUUUUUGUUUGAGUCUGUAUCACAGUGUUGGGUUUUCGGCGGAGGCACCCAGCUGACCGUCUCAGGUCAGCCGACAGUGGCCCCCUCGGUCAAUCUGUUCCCACCCUCCCCUGAGGAGAUCAAGGAAAACAAGGCCACCGUGGUGUGUCUCAUCAACGACUUCUACCCGGGCGCAGCGACAGUGACCUGGAAGGCAGACGGCACCACCAUCACCCAGGGUGUGGAAACCAGCGAGCCCGCCAAACAGAGCAACAACAAGUAUGCGGCCAGCAGCUUCCUCAGCUUGACGGCCAAUCAGUGGAAGUCCUACGGCAGAGUCACCUGCCAGGUCACGCACGAGGGCAAAGCCGUGGAGAAGAGCGUGGCCCCUGCACAAUGUUCAUAGGUCCCCACCCUCACCCACCACCGGGGACUGAAAAGCUGCAGGACCCGAGAAGGGUCUCUCCUUGUCCCCCACCUACUCCGGUCACCCUACCCUUCCCAUUGAACUCAAUCAACUCUCAAUAAAAAUCCUCAUCUUUCAAUCAGAAACCUU